UCAAAAUUAUUCACAAAAGUGCGAGAAAAAACAAAAGAAUGGAAGCUGUUCGAACGGAUCUGUGAGGGGUGCCCCGACUACGACGGACGAAAUUACUGGAAAACGGGGCUGC
ensembl:ncRNA F35A5.9 ncRNA